GGACGAGUUUGAAGCUCCGUCCCAUCUGGUGAAGCAUCGUAGCGUGGGGCUUGCGAAGUUCUGGUAGCGAGCGGAGGAUCGGUCGUGUCUUCAGAGAAGCGAGCCGGCGGGCGCCAUGCUGUGGUUAUUGUCGAGUCAAGAACGUUUGUGUGGGCGGAUAUAAGAACAGGACCGGACCAUCCGGACCAUCCGUCCCACAUUUCAGGCCCGCGCUCGUGACCGCUUCUUUCUUUGCCGCGACACUGGCGCGUGAUUUGAUGCGCUUUCUUGCCCCGCCCGUCUUCAAGGAUUGAAGCAGGGACCCCAGAAUGAGUGCCAAUCUUCUCUUGGGGCGUGCCCAUCUGCUGCUUCUGCUCCCGACGAAGAGGACGAGGUCAUCCUCCACCGUUGACGACGGAAGCAGCUGCAGCGGCAGAAGCCACCUUUCUCGGGAACGCACGCUGCGGAAGCACGAAGGGAGAGGAGCGAGCGCCGUCUUCGCUUUGAAUCCAUUUCGCGCCAAAAGAAAUACGGAACGGUCACGAAUUUCUGCUCGCCUCGGCGGCGGCGGCGGCUCCGAAACCGCCGGCGACGAGCGACAGCUCAACCUCUCGGUCCUUCGCUUCACUUUUGGCAUACCUGGUUUGGACGAGUCGUACUUGCCCAGAUGGAUAGGGUAUGGGUUUGGUUCGCUCUUGCUGUUGAAUCACUUCGUGGGGUCGGAUCUCGCCAAUAUAACCUCGGCUCAGCUGAGGACAGAGGUUCUGGGUCUUUCUUUGGCUGCAUUCUCCAUUAUACUCCCUUAUCUUGGAAAAUUUCUUCCGGGUGCUGGUCCAGUAACUCAAGUAAUGUUGCCUGAAGGCAAUGAGCAGCUCUUCAUCAUGUCAGAGAGUCUGUCUGAUACAUUGAAGGAGAACUUGGCUUGGGCAACGUAUGUGCUAUUGCGCAAUACAAAUACUAUUGCUGUGUUAAUAUCAAUUGAAGGCAAGCUAUGCAUACGGGGCUAUUGGAGAACACCGGAUGAUGCAUCUAAAGCCCAUGUCCUUGAUUGGUUUGUGGAACAGAUACAGAAAAUUGGCCUCUCUGAUUUGAAGGAUACACUCUAUUUCACCCAGAGUCCUGAUUUUGGAUUUGGGGAAUUGUUACCAAAUGGGACAUGCUCACUGUUGGUGGAGCCACUGCUUCAAGUUUCAGAUCAAGAGGUAUGCGAGAUGGGGAGAAAUGAAGGGUUUGUCAUUCUGGUCUCAAGCAUGAGUUAUGCUUAUAGUGACAAAGACAGAGCCUGGAUAAAAGCUAUUGCAAACAAGUUUACGGGGAAGGGAGGAGGGGAAUCCACCUGGCACAGUUAGAAUGUUUUUCGAAAUUCGUAAGAGGGGGUCAACUCAUAAAGCCAGAGUCUCAAGCUAAAUAUGUAUGUCCUUCCAAGUUAUGAUGUGUAGGUGCAACAUUCUUUGUACACAUUGUAUGCUUUUCGAACUAAUUUGCUUCUAUGAAAUUGCAUGGAAAAUGAGAUGCCUGAAGUUGUUUGGUUGGAUCCUUCAACUUCAGACAUUGGAUUAAUAGACAAGUACUUUGGAAUCCAUAACAUGAUUUCUCCUGUGGACGUGGUCUGAGGGUGAGGACUAAACAAGGGAGAAGAUUGAGAUCACCAACUUCUUCUAAGGGAGUGGUGGAGGCUGGACUGAAUGAGACUGAAGGCAAAUUGGUUGAAGUCCAAGUAAAUCUAGAUGAGACAAGGGAAGAUCUCCAAACUACUAGAGAAGAAAAUGUUGCACUCAAGAAUCGGAUGGAUAGUCUUGAGGAGAAUUACUCCAACUUAUAGAGCUUUUCUAAUGCAGUGACAAUGGUAUCUGACAUUAUCCAUAUGAAACUCCUCAGAUGGUUACCAUGAAUGAUAAGAGUGAUACAAUUAUAUAAUAAGGAAGCAAAUACUGAUGGGAUGCAAUUUCAUUGAUAUCUCUUCUGCAUAUUGGGAGGCUCAAAGUUCUAAUAGCUGCUGAUGCAUAUUGAGAUGGUUAGCUUUCAUUGAUUCAUGUCUUUUUCUGGUAGUAUUGCUUGAUCUUAGCUUUCAUUGGCUCAUUGGUACUAUGGGAGUGUGGAAUUUUUUUUACACCUGUCAAAGACUAUGUUACUGUUUGUUUGAGUGUACUCACCAUUCUUCAAAGGGAUUUGAUCAUAUAUUUUGAUGAAGAUUUUAAUCAUUGUUGUGUAGGAUGGUCCCAUGUGGGAAAUAGUUGUUAAGAAAGCUUAUCAGGCUUGUCUUCAGAGUCUUUGAUUGCAGAGCAGUAUUAUACAUUGUAUUAAUUAUGAGGUGGUGAUGAUACAUAAGGAGUAUGUGAUUUCUUUCAAUGCGGUUAAUUGCAAAAGCAUGGCAGAGAUCUAUUAGAGGUUGAGGUUAUAUUUUUAACAUGAUUGUAUAGAAUACAGGUUAAAUUUUUUCUCAUCAUGUUAUAUCUUGGAUUUGGAAAUUUUGAUGUUCUGAUUUUUAGUUCGUGUAGAUCUAGGGCUUCUGAUUUUCAAUCAAACAUAGUCGAUUUUCAAUA